UACGAAGGGGGGCUAGCGUUGUUCGGAAUUACUGGGCGUAAAGCGCACGUAGGCGGACUCUUAAGUCAGGGGUGAAAAUCCCGGGGCUCAACCUCGGAAUUGCCUUUGAUACUGUGAGUCUUGAGACCGGAAGAGGUGAGUGGAAUUCCUAGUGUAGAGGUGAAAAUUCGUAGAUAUUAGGAAGAACACCGGUGGCGAAGGCGGCUCACUGGUCCGGUUCUGACGCUGAGGCGCGAAAGCGUGGGGAGCAAACAGG
rnacentral:rRNA from 1 species